GGAGAAGAAGGGAAGCAGACAGAGAGAGACACAAGCAGAACAGAAAGCAGAACAGAACAGAAAGGCUAGCCUUUCUGUUCUGCUUGUAUCUCUCUCUGUCUGCUUCCCUUCUUCUCC
rnacentral:miRNA from 1 species